GCUUAUAUAGUUUAAUGGUUAAAACUAUUGUCUCAUAUGCAAUCAAUGUUCGGG
rnacentral:tRNA from 1 species